GCCAUUGUGGUAUACUGAUUAGAAUUUUGGACUAUGAUUCUGGUGACCAGGGUUUGAAUCCCGGCUAAGCCA